rnacentral:tRNA from 1 species
GCCCAGGUGGCGGAACUGGUAGACGCGCUAGAUUCAGGUUCUAGUGGCCGCAAGGCCGUGGAGGUUCGAGUCCUCUCCUGGGCACCA